UAUUGCCUCAAAAAUUCAUUUUCUAAAACCCAAUUUCUCCCUAUUCCUCUCUUCUCUCGCAUUCUCCCAAAUCUUGCCCAGGCAUGACUUUAUAGAAAAUAGAGAGAGUAGCAGCCACGGCGACGACGUCGAUGGAUUCUCCAAAGCCUGACCCAGACACUAACACUGAGCUCGAUACCAAUCCAAACCUUAAUCCUAACCCUAAUUCUUCAAAUUGGUUAGUCCCCACCUCCUCCAAUGGCCCUGAUGUCUGCCUUCUCAAGUUUGCCGGAGACUCCGCUGGCGAGGCAUUCAUGGGCUCCAUUUUUCGCUACGCCCUCUCUCUCUAUCUCAUAUAUAUAUAUACACACACACACAUGCGUAUGGAGUGUUAUGCUUUAAUUGCUUAAUUGUGGUGUUUCUAUAUGGGAAUUUGAGUGGUGCUGAUAUAGGAUUUUGAGUGUUUGACAAAAUAUGAUUUUCGUUAAUAGUGUUUUGGGCUUUGCGAAAGGGAGUGAAUUUUCUCUUUCUAACUAACGAGGUAUUGGAGUUUUUGGUGGGUUUUGUUUAGUGUUGCUAAUGGUUGAGGUAUGCUAGUCUUUUGUUAUUUUCAAUUCGUAUCAUGUAGGUUUUUGUUGAGUAUUGAUAUAGUAAUUCUUAAUAUGCUUUCAUAUAUGUUUUCUGCUGAAAUUCUUUAUAUGAAGUGUAUGAAUUUUGAAUUCGAAUUUGUUGCAUUUGCCUUAUCAAAACUUAAUAUGGAUGCAAAUAGGUCUUGUUGUGAUUGAUUUUGUUAUAUAUGUUUGUGAGUAUUGUUUGUUGUGGGUUCCAAAUUUUGAAAGUGCUAUGAUUUUGUUAUAUAUAUGUGUUUGUUUGGUUUUUGGAAAUUUUGAGUUGGCUGCCUUGAUUUAGUUUGAUUGUGUUGGUUUUCUUUUGGUAUGCAAGCAUACUUGAAAAUCUGUAACCUUUUUAGAAGCCUCCAACUCAGUAUCUGCCACAGUGUACCUGGAUACCGCGCAUAAACCCAUAAAUAAGCAUAUAUCUUGUAGAUGACUACAAAGUCAGAGCCUUUUCUUAUUUUUGUGGCAUCAGAUCAGCCUGUGAAUGUUGUAGCACUAGAAUAUCAGAUAAUUCAAUUCAAUUGGAAGAUUCUAUCAGCCUUAAACAUUAGUCUUGUGCUUAUUUUUGUAUUUUAAUAUAAUUGAAAAUCUGGAAUUUGUGGGAAUUUUUUUAUUUUUUGGCUUGCUAAAACCCCUUACUGUGGUUAAGGCUGUCAGGUAGGCUAUGUGUUGGGUCAUUCAGGCUGAGUGUGUGGCUAUAGUUGCAAGAGCCAUAUUUUUUUGGUGGAAGAAAGAAGCGUAGGGUUCUAGGAAGAGUAGAAGGAUAUUUGAAAAUGUAAAGGUUGAGGAGAUGGAUUAUCUGUGGUAGAUGGUUUGCUUUCGGGCAUCUCCAUGGACUUCUAUCUCUUCAAAUUUUUGGGAUAAUCUUUCUCUGCUAUAUUUUCAUUUUGGAUGGUUCUUAGCUCCAAUAUCUUGUCCUUUUUUGUAAUAUUUAUUUCUCUUCUCCAUUCAGGCUGAGUGCGUGGCUAUAGUUGCAAGAGCCAUAUUUUUUUGGUGGAAGAAAGAAGGGUAGGGUUCUAGGAAGAGUAGAAUGAUAUUUGAGAAUGUAAAGGGUGAGGAGAUAGAUUAUCUGUGGUAGAUGGUUCGCUUUCGGGCAUCUCCAUGGACUUCUAUCUCUUCAAAUUUUUGGGAUAAUCUUUCUCUGCCAUAUUUUCAUAUUGGAUGGUUCUUUGCUCCAAUAUCUUGUCCAUUUUUUGUAAUAUUUAUUUCUCUUGAGAUAUUUGACAAUUUUUUUUUUUUAAUGACAGUUGGACCUAGAUUUUUGCCUUAUGGAAGAUUGUUGUCGUUGAGAACCUUCAUCAAUUUGGCUUCUUUGUAUUUUCACAUAAUUUCAAAAAUUCAGUAUGUGGGGUUAUCUAGGUGAGCGUAGGGCAAAAGUUGCAGAGCUAUCAAAUUUGGUCAUCUAAAACGGGUAGUGUGGAACUACACAUGCGAGUGAAUAUCACCUUCAUAACAUAGCUCAUCACUUGGAGGUUCGAGAUUGGACAGAAGCUACUGGUUUCUACACUGUUAGAAGAUGGCUUUGAGAAAUGCAGAUGCGCCACCAGUUUUGUUCCACCACAUAAUCAUUGUUGUAAUAGGAGUGGAAUUGGAUAUUAGUUGUGCUUUGAUGUGAUGAGCUAUUUCUUAUUUAUUAGUUGUGGUUUCAUGAAUUAGUAACCAUGAAACUAGAGUGGAUAGAGAAACUGCAUAUGUAUAUGUUUAGCUAAUAAGUAGCCUAGCAAUAUAAACUCAAGUUUAUGUAU